rnacentral:misc_RNA from 1 species
UCUCCGUAGGUGAACCUGCGGAGGGAUCAUUACUGAGUGAGGGCUUCGGUCCGACCUCCAACCCUUUGUGAACCAUACCUCUCUGUUGCCUCGGCGCAGGCUGGGAGCUUCUGUAAACUCCCCCACGCGGACUCGCCUCCGCGCGGAGCAGGCCCGCCGGCGGCCCCUACCAAACCUCUUGUUUUUACAGUGUCUCCUCUGAGUUACAAACACAAAUGAAUCAAAACUUUCAACAACGGAUCUCUUGGUUCUGGCAUCGAUGAAGAACGCAGC